CCAAAAUACAGUGCAGGCAUUGGCAUUUGCUCUUGGGUGGGGCUGUUAGCAUUUCGUUAACACUAAAGGCUUUUUGCUCCAGCUCUGUUUGCCUGUUUUUACACAGAAGAAGCCUCUGCAGUUUUCUAUGCUCCUGCCAGCCCAGAAACGUCUUAAAAGUUAAUACUAGAAUUUAUUAUUCAAAUGGAGGCUGCAUGUGUGACAGGAAUCCCCAUAUAUGAUUUCUUCUUUGAGGUAUCACCUAGGAGAAAUGCCAUUCUGCAAAUGCCUUCAUCAUUCAUUCUCCCAGUUAUCCAAGCUUCAGCAAAAUAUAUCACCAUCAUCAACUGCCUGUCUCCUUUGAAUGCAAAUAAUUGCUUGUCAAAUAAUUCCUCAGAAAUAAUAUGUCUAGUGAUAUGAUUUGGCUGAGUCCCCACCCAAAUAUUAUCUUGAAUUGUAGCACCCAUAAUGCUCACAUGUCAUAGAAGGAACCUAGUGGGAGGUAAUUGAGUCAUGGGAGCAGUUACCCCCAUGCUGGUGCUCUCAUGAUACUGAGUGAGUUCCCAU
rnacentral:lncRNA from 10 species